rnacentral:rRNA from 1 species
GGCCUUCGGGUUGUAAGCACUUUCAGUCGUGAGGAAGGUAGUGUAGUUAAUAGCUGCAUUAUUUGACGUUAGCGACAGAAGAAGCACCGGCUAACUCCGUGCCAGCAGCCGCGGUAAUACGGAGGGUGCGAGCGUUAAUCGGAAUUACUGGCGUAAAGCGCAUGCAGGUGGUUGUUAAGUCAGAUGUGAAAGCCCGGGGCUCAACCUCGGAAUUGCAUUUGAAACUGGCAGACUAGAGUACUGUAGAGGGGGGUAGAAUUUCAGGUGUAGCGGUGAAAUGCGUAGAGAUCUGAAGGAAUACCGGUGGCGAAGGCGGCCCCCUGGACAGAUACUGACACUCAGAUGCGAAAGCGUGGGGAGCAAACAGGAUUAGAUACCUGGUAGUCCACGCCGUAAACGAUGUCUACUUGGAGGUUGUGGCCUUGAGCCGUGGCUUUCGGAGCUAACGCGUUAUCG